rnacentral:rRNA from 1 species
CUAACACAUGCAAGUCGAACGGCAGCACAGGAGAGCUUGCUCUCUGGGUGGCGAGUGGCGGACGGGUGAGGAAUACAUCGGAAUCUACUUUUUCGUGGGGGAUAACGUAGGGAAACUUACGCUAAUACCGCAUACGACCUACGGGUGAAAGCAGGGGAUCUUCGGACCUUGCGCGAUUGAAUAAGCCGAUGUCGGAUUAGCUAGUUGGCGGGGUAAAGGCCCACCAAGGCGACGAUCCGUAGCUGGUCUGAGAGGAUGAUCAACCACACUGGAACUGAGACACGGUCCAGACUCCUACGGGAGGCAGCAGUGGGGAAUAUUGGACAAUGGGCGCAAGCCUGAUCCAGCCAUACCGCGUGGGUGAAGAAGGCCUUCGGGUUGUAAAGCCCUUUUGUUGGGAAAGAAAUCCAGCUGGCUAAUACCCGGUUGGGAUGACGGUACCCAAAGAAUAAGCACCGGCUAACUUCGUGCCAGCAGCCGCGGUAAUACGAAGGGUGCAAGCGUUACUCGGAAUUACUGGGCGCAAAGCGUGCGUAGGUGGUCGUUUAAGUCCGUUGUGAAAGCCCUGGGCUCAACCUGGGAACUGCAGUGGAUACUGGACGACUAGAGUGUGGUAGAGGGUAGCGGAAUUCCUGGUGUAGCAGUGAAAUGCGUAGAGAUCAGGAGGAACAUCCAUGGCGAAGGCAGCUACCUGGACCAACACUGACACUGAGGCACGAAAGCGUGGGGAGCAAACAGGAUUAGAUACCCUGGUAGUCCACGCCCUAAACGAUGCGAACUGGAUGUUGGGUGCAAUUUGGCACGCAGUAUCGAAGCUAACGCGUUAAGUUCGC